rnacentral:rRNA from 1 species
GUCGAGCGAACGGACGAGAAGCUUGCUUCUCUGAUGUUAGCGGCGGACGGGUGAGUAACACGUGGAUAACCUACCUAUAAGACUGGGAUAACUUCGGGAAACCGGAGCUAAUACCGGAUAAUAUUUUGAACCGCAUGGUUCAAAAGUGAAAGACGGUCUUGCUGUCACUUAUAGAUGGAUCCGCGCCGCAUUAGCUAGUUGGUAAGGUAACGGCUUACCAAGGCAACGAUGCAUAGCCGACCUGAGAGGGUGAUCGGCCACACUGGAACUGAGACACGGUCCAGACUCCUACGGGAGGCAGCAGUAGGGAAUCUUCCGCAAUGGGCGAAAGCCUGACGGAGCAACGCCGCGUGAGUGAUGAAGGUCUUCGGAUCGUAAAACUCUGUUAUUAGGGAAGAACAUAUGUGUAAGUAACUGUGCACAUCUUGACGGUACUUAAUCAGAAAGCCACGGCUAACUACGUGCCAGCAGCCGCGGUAAUACGUAGGUGGCAAGCGUUAUCCGGAAUUAUUGGGCGUAAAGCGCGCGUAGGCGGUUUUUUAAGUCUGAUGUGAAAGCCCACGGCUCAACCGUGGAGGGUCAUUGGAAACUGGAAAACUUGAGUGCAGAAGAGGAAAGUGGAAUUCCAUGUGUAGCGGUGAAAUGCGCAGAGAUAUGGAGGAACACCAGUGGCGAAGGCGACUUUCUGGUCUGUAACUGACGCUGAUGUGCGAAAGCGUGGGGAUCAAAC